CUGCGGCCGUCUAUAAUGCAAGUCGAGCGAGCAGAACCAGCAGGUUUACUUCGGUAAUGACGCUGGGGACGCGAGCGGCGGAUGGGUGAGUAACACGUGGGGAACCUGCCCCAUAGUCUGGAAUACCACUUGGAAACAGGUGCUAAUACCGGAUAAGAAAGCAGAUCGCAUGAUCAGCUUAUAAAAGACGGCGUAAGCUGUCGCUAUGGGAUGGCCCCGCGGUGCAUUAGCUAGUUGGCAAGGUAACGGCUUACCAAGGCAAUGAUGCAUAGCCGAGUUGAGAGACUGAUCGGCCACAUUGGGACUGAGACACGGCCCAAACUCCUACGGGAGGCAGCAGUAGGGAAUCUUCCACAAUGGACGCAAGUCUGAUGGAGCAACGCCGCGUGAGUGAAGAAGGUUUUCGGAUCGUAAAGCUCUGUUGUUGGUGAAGAAGGAUAGAGGUAGUAACUGGCCUUUAUUUGACGGUAAUCAACCAGAAAGUCACGGCUAACUACGUGCCAGCAGCCGCGGUAAUACGUAGGUGGCAAGCGUUGUCCGGAUUUAUUGGGCGUAAAGCGAGCGCAGGCGGAAGAAUAAGUCUGAUGUGAAAGCCCUCGGCUUAACCGAGGAACUGCAUCGGAAACUGUUUUUCUUGAGUGCAGAAGAGGAGAGUGGAACUCCAUGUGUAGCGGUGGAAUGCGUAGAUAUAUGGAAGAACACCAGUGGCGAAGGCGACUCUCUGGUCUGCAACUGACGCUGAGGCUCGAAAGCAUGGGUAGCGAACAGGAUUAGAUACCCUGGUAGUCCAUGCCGUAAACGAUGAGUGCUAAGUGUUGGGAGGUUUCCGCCUCUCAGUGCUGCAGCUAACGCAUUAAGCACUCCGCCUGGGGAGUACGACCGCAAGGUUGAAACUCAAAGGAAUUGACGGGGGCCCGCACAAGCGGUGGAGCAUGUGGUUUAAUUCGAAGCAACGCGAAGAACCUUACCAGGUCUUGACAUCUAGUGCCAUCCUAAGAGAUUAGGAGUUCCCUUCGGGGACGCUAAGACAGGUGGUGCAUGCUGUCGUCAGCUCGUGUCGUGAGAUG
rnacentral:rRNA from 1 species